GCUCAGAUUGAACGCUGGCGGAACGCUUUACACAUGCAAGUCGAACGGUAACGCGGAGAGAAGCUCGCUUCUCUCCGGCGACGAGUGGCGAACGGGUGAGUAAUACAUCGGAACGUGUCCGCUCGUGGGGGACAACCAGCCGAAAGGUUGGCUAAUACCGCAUGAGUUCUACGGAAGAAAGAGGGGGACCCGCAAGGGCCUCUCGCGAGCGGAGCGGCCGAUGACUGAUUAGCCGGUUGGUGAGGUAACGGCUCACCAAAGCAACGAUCAGUAGCUGGUCUGAGAGGACGACCAGCCACACUGGGACUGAGACACGGCCCAGACUCCUACGGGAGGCAGCAGUA
rnacentral:rRNA from 1 species